rnacentral:lncRNA from 1 species
UAAAUGAGGGAACAUAUGCAGAGGUGCUUUUAAAAAGCACAUGCCACCUUUUUUAUUAAUUAAUCUAUUAUAUAAAAUGAAGCAUUUAAUUAUAGUAAUAAUUUGAAGUAGUUUGAAGUACCACACUGAGGUGAGGACUUAAAAAUGAUAAGACGAGUUCCCUAUUUUAUAAGAAAAAUAAGCCAAAAUUAAAUAUUCUUUUGGAUAUAAAUUUCAACAGUGAGAUAGCUGCCUAGUGGAAAUGAAUAAUAUCCCAGCCACUAGUGUACAGGGUGUUUUGUGGCACAGGAUUAUGUAAUAUGGAACUGCUCAAGCAAAUAACUAGUCAUCACAACAGCAGUUCUUUGUAAUAACUGAAAAAGAAUAUUGUUUCUCGGAGAAGGAUGUCAAAAGAUCGGCCCAGCUCAGGGAGCAGUUUGCCCUACUAGCUCCUCGGACAGCUGUAAGAAGAGUCUCUGGCUCUUUAGAAUACUGAUCCCAUUGAAGAUACCACGCUGCAUGUGUCCUUAGUAGUCAUGUCUCCUUAGGCUCCUCUUGGACAUUCUGAGCAUGUGAGACCUGAGGACUGCAAACAGCUAUAAGAGGCUCCAAAUUCAUCAUAUCUUUCCCUUUGAGAAUCUGGCCAAGCUCCAGCUAAUCUACUUGGAUGGGUUGCCAGCUAUCUGGAGAAAAAGAUCUUCCUCAGAAGAAUAGGCUUGUUGCUUUACAGUGUUAGUGAUCCAUUCCCUUUGACGAUCCCUAGGUGGAGAUGGGGCAUGAGGAUCCUCCAGGGGAAAAGCUCACUACCACUGGGCAACAACCCUAGGUCAGGAGGUUCUGUCAAGAUACUUUCCUGGUCCCAGAUAGGAAGAUAAAGUCUCAAAAACAACCACCACACGUCAAGCUCUUCAUUGUUCCUACCUGCCAAAUCAUUAUACUUCCUACAAGCAGUGCAGAGAGCUGAGUCUUCAGCAGGUCCAAGAAAUUUGAACACACUGAAGGAAGUCAGCCUUCCCACCUGAAGAUCAACAUGCCUGGCACUCUAGCACUUGAGGAUAGCUGAAUGAAUGUGUAUUUCUUUGUCUCUUUCUUUCUUGUCUUUGCUCUUUGUUCUCUAUCUAAAGUGUGUCUUACCCAUUUCCAUGUUUCUCUUGCUAAUUUCUUUCGUGUGUGCCUUUGCCUCAUUUUCUCUUUUUGUUCACAAGAGUGGUCUGUGUCUUGUCUUAGACAUAUCUCUCAUUUUUCAUUUUGUUGCUAUUUCUCUUUGCUCUCCUAGAUGUGGCUCUUCUUUCACGCUUUAUUUCAUGUCUCCUUUUUGGGUCACAUGCUGUGUGCUUUUUGUCCUUUUCUUGUUCUGUCUACCUCUCCUUUCUCUGCCUACCUCUCUUUUCUCUUUGUGAACUGUGAUUAUUUGUUACCCCUUCCCCUUCUCGUUCGUUUUAAAUUUCACCUUUUUUCUGAGUCUGGCCUCCUUUCUGCUGUUUCUACUUUUUAUCUCACAUUUCUCAUUUCUGCAUUUCCUUUCUGCCUCUCUUGGGCUAUUCUCUCUCUCCUCCCCUGCGUGCCUCAGCAUCUCUUGCUGUUUGUGAUUUUCUAUUUCAGUAUUAAUCUCUGUUGGCUUGUAUUUGUUCUCUGCUUCUUCCCUUUCUACUCACCUUUGAGUAUUUCAGCCUCUUCAUGAAUCUAUCUCCCUCUCUUUGAUUUCAUGUAAUCUCUCCUUAAAUAUUUCUUUGCAUAUGUGGGCAAGUGUACGUGUGUGUGUGUCAUGUGUGGCAGAGGGGCUUCCUAACCCCUGCCUGAUAGGUGCAGAACGUCGGCUAUCAGAGCAAGCAUUGUGGAGCGGUUCCUUAUGCCAGGCUGCCAUGUGAGAUGAUCCAAGACCAAAACAAGGCCCUAGGCUGCAGUAAAACCCAAAACUCAAGUAGGGCAGAAGGUGGAAGGCUCAUAUGGAUAGAAGGCCCAAAGUAUAAGACAGAUGGUUUGAGACUUGAGACCCGAGGACUAAGAUGGAAAGCCCAUGUUCCAAGAUAGAUAGAAGCCUCAGGCCUGAAACCAACAAAAGCCUCAAGAGCCAAGAAAACAGAGGGUGGCCUGAAUUGGACCGAAGGCCUGAGUUGGAUGGAAGUCUCAAGGCUUGAGUUAGAAGUCUUAAGACCUGGGACAGGACACAUGGAAGGCCUAAGAACUGAGACUUGUGACACAAGGCCAACGAUCUAAGAUUAGCCCAGGGUUGUAGCUGGAAGACCUACAACCCAAGGAUGGAAGGCCCCUGUCACAAAGCCUACCUAGAUGGAUAGAGGACCCAAGCGAAAAAGGUAUCUCAAGACUAAAGGCUGGAAUCUGGAGGCCCAUGACCCAGAACCCAGGAAGGAUAGAAGCUUGAAGACCUGGGGAAAUCCCAAGAUGAGAACCCUAAACCCUACCUCUUUUCUAUUGUUUACACUUCUUACUCUUAGAUAUUUCCAGUUCUCCUGUUUAUCUUUAAGCCUGAUUCUUUUGAGAUGUACUUUUUGAUGUUGCCGGUUACCUUUAGAUUGACAGUAUUAUGCCUGGGCCAGUCUUGAGCCAGCUUUAAAUCACAGCUUUUACCUAUUUGUUAGGCUAUAGUGUUUUGUAAACUUCUGUUUCUAUUCACAUCUUCUCCACUUGAGAGAGACACCAAAAUCCAGUCAGUAUCUAAUCUGGCUUUUGUUAACUUCCCUCAGGAGCAGGCAUUCAUAUAGGUGAUACUGUAUUUCAGUCCUUUCUUUUGACCCCAGAAGCCCUAGACUGAGAAGAUAAAAUGGUCAGGUUGUUGGGGGAAAAAAAGUGCCAGGCUCUCUAGAGAAAAAUGUGAAGAGAUGCUCCAGGCCAAUGAGAAGAAUUAGACAAGAAAUACACAGAUGUGCCAGACUUCUGAGAAGCACCUGCCAGCAACAGCUUCCUUCUUUGAGCUUAGGUGAGCAGGAUUCUGGGGUUUGGGAUUUCUAGUGAUGGUUAUGGAAAGGGUGACUGUGCCUGGGACAAAGCGAGGUCCCAAGGGGACAGCCUGAACUCCCUGCUCAUAGUAGUGGCCAAAUAAUUUGGUGGACUGUGCCAACCCUACUCCUGGGUUUAAUACCCAUCUCUAGGCUUAAAGAUGAGAGAACCUGGGACUGUUGAGCAUGUUUAAUACUUUCCUUGAUUUUUUUCUUCCUGUUUAUGUGGGAAGUUGAUUUAAAUGACUGAUAAUGUGUAUGAAAGCACUGUAAAACAUAAGAGAAAAACCAAUUAGUGUAUUGGCAAUCAUGCAGUUAACAUUUGAAAGUGCAGUGUAAAUUGUGAAGCAUUAUGUAAAUCAGGGGUCCACAGUUUUUCUGUAAGGGGUCAAAUCAUAAAUACUUUAGACUGUGGGCCAUAUGGUUUCUGUUACAUAUUUGUUUUUUAAACAACGUUUUUAUAAGGUCAAAAUCAUUCUUAGUUUUUGAGCCGAUUGGAUUUGGCCUGCUGUUCAUAGCUUACCACCCCCUGAUGUAUUAUUUGUUAUUCAGAGAAAAUUUCUGAAUACUACUAGUUUCCUUUUCUGUGCCUGUCCCUGUGCUAGGCACUAAAAAUGCAAUGAUUAUUGAUAUCUAGGUGACCUGAAAAAAAAUAGUGAAUGUGCUUUGUAAACUGUAAAGCACUUGUAUUCUACUGUGUUAAGCGUUGUGGAUACAAAGAAAGGAGCAAGCAUAAAAAAGUGCUCUUUCAAAAGGAUAUAGUACUAUGCAGACACAAGGAAUUGUUUGAUAAAUGAAUAAAUUAUAUGUAUAUUUGAGGCCAAUUUGUGUUUGCUGCUCUGGUAAUUUUGAGUAAAAAUGCAGUAUUCCAGGUAUCAGAAAUGAAAACACAUGGAAACUGCUUUUAAACUUUAAAAUAUAGUGAAAACAUAAGGGACUAAGCUUGUUGUGGUCACCUAUAAUGUGCCAGAUACCAUGCUGGGUGCUAGAGCUACCAAAGGGGGAAAAGUAUUCUCAUAGAACAAAAAAUUUCAGAAAGGUGCAUAUUAAAGUGCUUUGUAAACUAAAGCAUGAUACAAAUGUCAAUGGGCUACAUAUUUAUGAAUGAAUGAAUGGAUGAAUGAAUAUUAAGUGCCUCUUACAUACCAGCUAUUUUGGGUACUGUAAAAUACAAGAUUAAUUCUCCUAUGUAAUAAGAGGAAAGUUUAUCCUCCAUACUAUUCAGAUGUAAGGAAUGAUAUAUUGCUUAAUUUUAAACAAUCAAGACUUUACUGGUGAGGUUAAGUUAAAUUAUUACUGAUACAUUUUUCCAGGUAACCAGGAAAGAGCUAGUAUGAGGAAAUGAAGUAAUAGAUGUGAGAUCCAGACCGAAAGUCACUUAAUUCAGCUUGCGAAUGUGCUUUCUAAAUUAUAAAGCACUUGUAAAUGAAAAAUUCGAUGCUUUCUGUAUGAAUAAAACUUUCUGUAAGCUAGGUAUUGUCUCUACAAAAUUCUCAUUGUAUAGUUAAACCACAGUGAGAAGGGUUCUAUAAGUAGUUAUACAAACCAAGGGUUUAAAUACCUGUUAAAUAGAUCAAUUUUGAUUGCCUACUAUGUGAACUCACUGUUAAAGGCACUGAAAAUUUAUCAUAUUUCAUUUAGCCACAGCCAAAAAUAAGGCAAUACCUAUGUUAGCAUUUUGUGAACUCUAAGGCACCAUAUAAAUGUAACUGUUGAUUUUCUCACUUGGUGCUGGGUACUAGGUUUAUAAAAUUGUAUGAUAGUUAUUAUAUUGUGCAAAUAAAGUAGGAAAAUUUGAAUAACAAUGAUUAUCUUUUGAAUACACAUAUGCAAGGGAUUGGUUGUCUGAAGAAUGCCACUAUAGUAGUUAUCUAUUGUGUGCCAAUCUCAUUGCUAGGCAUUGGGGAUGCAAAGAUAAACCAUCUUUAUUGUGUCUUGGGUAGCAUUAGAAAAUAUGUGUAAAAUCAAUUUGUAAUUUGUAAACUGCCACCCAUAUAUAAGCUAUAUCUGCUGAAUGAUCAUUGAUUACUCUUAUCCUUAGAGAUAACAACUGGGGGCACAAACAUUUAUUAUCAUUAUUGAACCUACAACAGAGAUCUAUGUGUAGAUUUACAAAGCCUACAGUUCUAUACAGAUAGGAAUGAACUAUUGGCUUACUGAAUGGUGAUUACUUUCUGUGGGGCUCGGAACUACAUGCCCUAGGAUAUAAAAAUGAUGUUAUCAUUAUAGAGUGCUCACAGAAGGAAAUGAAGUAAUAUAGGUGUGAGAUUCAGACCAAAAGUCAUUUAACAAGUUUAUUCAGUGAUGAAAACAUGGGACAAAUGGACUAAUAUAAGGCAGUGUACUAAGCUGAGUAGAGAGAUAAAGUCCUGUCCAGAAGAUACAUGCUUCCUGGCCUGAUUGAGGAGAUGGAAAUUUUUUGCAAAAAACAAGGUGUUGUGGUCUUCCAUCCAGUUUCUUAAGUGCUGAUGAUAGAAGUGAAUUAGACCCACCUUGACCUGGCCUACAGAAGUAAAGGAGUAAAAAUAAAUGCCUCAGGCGUGCUUUUUGAUUCAUUUGAUAAACAAAGCAUCUUUUAUGUGGAAUAUACCAUUCUGGGUCCUGAGGAUGAGAGAUGAGGGCAUUAGAUCACUGACAGCUGAAGAUAGAAGAACAUCUUUGGUUGAUUGUUUAAAUAAUAUUUCAAUGCCUAUUCUCUGCAAGGUACUAUGUUUCGUAAAUUAAAUAGGUCUGGCCCAGAAGACCCACUCAAUUGCCUUUGAGAUUUAAAAAAAAAAAGAAAAAUGCAAGUUUCUUUCAAAAUAAAGAGACAUUUUUCCUAGUUUCAGGAAUCCCCCAAAUCACUUCCUCAUUGGCUUAGUUUAAAGCCAGGAGACUGAUCAAAGGGCUCAGGGUUUGUUCUUUAAUUCAUUAACUAAACAUUCUGCUUUUAUUACAGUUAAAUGGUUCAAGAUGUAACAACUAGCUUUAAAGGUAUUUGCUCAUUGGUCUGGCUUAGAGACAGGAAGACAUUUGAGCAAUAAAAAAAAGAUUCUUUUGCAUUUACCAAUUUAGUAAAAAUUUAUUAAAACUGAAUAAAGUGCUGUUCUUAAGUGCUUGAAAGACGUAAACCAAAGUGCACUUUAUCUCAUUUAUCUUAUGGUGGAGACACAGGAACAAAUUCUCUAAGAGACUGUGUUUCUUUAGUUGAGAAGAAACUUCAUUGAGUAGCUGUGAUAUGUUCGAUACUAAGGAAAAACUGAACAGAUCACCUUUGACAUGCGUUGUAGAGUGGGAAUAAGAGAGGGCUUUUUAUUUUUUCGUUCAUACGAAUAUUGAUGAAGAUGAUACUAAAUGCUAAAUGAAAUAUAUCUGCUCCAAAAGGCAUUUAUUCUGACUUGGAGAAGCAACAAAAACACAAAAAUGGAAUGAAGUGAUACUCUUCAUCAAACAGAAGUGACUGUUAUGUCAACCAUUUUGUUAAUCCUAAACAGAAAACAAAAAAAAUCAUGACGAAAAGACACUUGCUUAUUAAUUGGCUUGGAAAGUAGAAUAUAGGAGAAAGGUUACUGUUUAUUUUUUUUCAUGUAUUCAUUCAUUCUACAAAUAUAUUCGGGUGCCAAUAGGUACUUGGUAUAAGGUUUUUGGCCCCAGAGACAUGGGAAACAAAUGCAUGCCUUCCCAGAGAAUGCCUAAUACUUUACUUUUGGCUUGUUUUCUUGUUAGGGGCAUGGCUUAGUCCCUAAAUAACAUUGUGUGGUUUAAUUCCUACUCCGUAUCUCUUCUACCACUCUGGCCACUACGAUAAGCAGGUAGCUGGGUUUUGUAGUGAGCUUGCUCCUUAAGUUACAGGAACUCUCCUUAUAAUAGACACUUCAUUUUCCUAGUCCAUCCCUCAUGAAAAAUGACUGACCACUGCUGGGCAGCAGGAGGGAUGAUGACCAACUAAUUCCCAAACCCCAGUCUCAUUGGUACCAGCCUUGGGAAACCACCCACACUUGAGCCACAAUUGGUUUUGAAGUGCAUUUACAAGGUUUGUCUAUUUUCAGUUCUUUACUUUUUACAUGCUGACACAUACAUACACUGCCUAAAUAGAUCUCUUUCAGAAACAAUCCUCAGAUAACGCAUAGCAAAAUGGAGAUGGAGACAUGAUUUCUCAUGCAACAGCUUCUCUAAUUAUACCUUAGAAAUGUUCUCCUUUUUAUCAUCAAAUCUGCUCAAGAAGGGCUUUUUAUAGUAGAAUAAUAUCAGUGGAUGAAAACAGCUUAACAUUUUACCAUGCUUAAGUUUUAAGAAUAAAAUAAAAAUUGGAAAUAAUUGGCCAAAAUUGAAAGGAAAAAUUUUUUUAAAAUUUCUCUAAAUGUAGGCCUGGCUGGGCUUUGACCUUUUCCAUUUUUAAAUCACUCACAGAGGGUGGGACAGGAGGAAGAGUGAAGGAAAAGGUCAAACCUGUUUUAAGGCCUUUGUUCUGAAUUGGUCUUAAGAACAUUACCAGCUCCAGGUUUAAAUUGUUCAGUUUCAUGCAGUUCCAAUAGCUGAUCAUUGUUGAGAUGAGGACAAAAUCCUUUGUCCUCACUAGUUUGCUUUACAUUUUUGAAAAGUAUUAUUUUUGUCCAAGUGCUUAUCAACUAACCCUUGUGUUAGGUAAGAAUGGAAUUUAUUAAGUGAAUCAGUGUGACCCUUCUUGUCAUAAGAUUAUCUUAAAGCUGAAGCCAAAAUAUGCUUCAAAAGAAGAGGACUUUAUUGUUUAUUGUAGUUCAUACAUUCAAAGCAUCUAAACUGUAGUUUCUAUAGCAAGCCAAUUACAUCCAUAAGUGGAGAAGGAAAUAGAUAAAUGUCAAAGUAUGAUUGGUGGAGGGAGCAAGAUUGAAGAUAAUCUGGGGUUGAAAUUUUCCAGUUUUCAUUCUGUACAUUUUUAGUUAGACAUCAGAUUUGAAAUAUUAAUGUUUACCUUUCAAUGUGUGGUAUCAGCUGGACUCAGUAACACCCCUUUCUUCAGCUGGGGAUGGGGAAUGGAUUAUUGGAAAAUGGAAAGAAGAAAGUAACUAAAAGCCUUCCUUUCACAGUUUCUGGCAUCACUACCACUACUGAUUAAACAAGAAUAAGAGAACAUUUUAUCAUCAUCUGCUUUAUUCACAUAAAUGAAGUUGUGAUGAAUAAAUCUGCUUUUAUGCAGACACAAGGAAUUAAGUGGCUUCGUCAUUGUCCUUCUACAUCAAAGAUAAUUUAUUCCAAAAGCUAAGAUAAAUGGAAGACUCUUGAACUUGUGAACUGAUGUGAAAUGCAGAAUCUCUUUUGAGUCUUUGCUGUUUGGAAGAUUGAAAAAUAUUGUUCGGCAUGGGUGACCACCAGAAAGUAAUCUUAAGCCAUCUAGAUGUCACAAUUGAAACAAACUGGGGAGUUGGUUGCUAUUGUAAAAUAAAAU